AGGAAGAUGGAAAUGCCACAAGGAAACCCAUUACUUUCUUUGUUAAUCUAGAGAAAUUAAUUUUUAAAGCGCAACAACAACAACAACAAAAGAUUUCUAAGAAAACCCCGUCUCUUUUGUGCUCUCCCAAGGCUGACCCGGAGGACUCCCUUUUCCAUGCCCUUUGGUGUGGUAGAAAGCAGCCUCCAGGCGGUAACUCGGAAGCCCUCUUCAGUGAUCACACAUGGAAUAUCGGUAACGUUAUAGUUCCUAUUGACAGCCUCCCAAUUAACUGCCAGUCUGUGACUAAGGAAAUAGCCAC
rnacentral:lncRNA from 1 species